CGCGUAGGCGGUUCGUACAGUCAGACGUGAAAUUCCCGGGCUCAACCUGGGGGCUGCGUUUGAUACGUGCGGGCUUGAGUUCGGAAGAGGGUCGUGGAAUUCCCAGUGUAGAGGUGAAAUUCGUAGAUAUUGGGAAGAACACCGGUGGCGAAGGCGGCGACCUGGUCCGAUACUGACGCUGAGGCGCGAAAGCGUGGGGAGCAAACA
rnacentral:rRNA from 1 species